UACGGCUCAGUAACACGUGGACAACCUGCCCUUUAGGUUGGGUAUAAACCCGGGAAACUGGGUAUAAUACCCGAUAGGUCUCGAUUGCUGGAAUGCAUCGAGAUUUAAAGCUCCGGCGCCUAAGGAUGGGUCUGCGGCCUAUCAGGUAGUAGUGGGUGUAGCGUACCUACUAGCCUACGACGGGUACGGGUUGUGAGAGCAAGAGCCCGGAGAUGGAUUCUGAGACACGAAUCCAGGCCCUACGGGGUGCAGCAGGCGCGAAAACUUUACAAUGCUGGCAACAGCGAUAAGGGAACCUCGAGUGCCAGGUUACAAAUCUGGCUGUCGAGAUGCCUAAAAAGCAUUUCAUAGCAAGGGCCGGGCAAGACCGGUGCCAGCCGCCGCGGUAACACCGGCGGCUCGAGUGGUAACCGUUAUUAUUGGGUCUAAAGGGUCUGUAGCCGGCCGGAUAAGUCUCUUGAGAAAUCUGGCAGCUUAACUGUCAGGCUUUCAGGAGAUACUGUCUGGCUCGAGGCCGGGAGAGGUGAGAGGUACUUCAGGGGUAGGGGUGAAAUCUUGUAAUCCUUGAAGGACCACCAGUGGCGAAGGCGUCUCACCAGAACGGACCUGACGGCAAGGGACGAAAGCUAGGGGCACGAACCGGAUUAGAUACCCGGGUAGUCCUAGCCGUAAACGAUACUCGCUAGGUGUCGGCCACGGUGCGACCGUUGUCGGUGCCGUAGGGAAGCCGUGAAGCGAGCCACCUGGGAAGUACGGCCGCAAGGCUGAAACUUAAAGGAAUUGGCGGGGGAGCAC
rnacentral:rRNA from 1 species